CCAGAGAACUUAGCAGAGAUGCUUUGGUGCCUUCGGGAACUCUGAGACAGGUGCUGCAUGGCUGUCGUCAGCUCGUGUUGUGAAAUGUUGGGUUAAGUCCCGCAACGAGCGCAACCCUUAUCCUUGUUGCCAGCGGCUCGGCCGGGAACUCAAAGGAGACUGCCGGUGAUAAACCGGAGGAAGGUGGGGAUGACGUCAAGUCAUCAUGGCCCUUACGGCCAGGGCUACACACGUGCUACAAUGGCGCAUACAAAGAGAAGCGACCUCGCGAGAGCAAGCGGACCUCACAAAGUGCGUCGUAGUCCGGAUUGGAGUCUGCAACUCGACUCCAUGAAGUCGGAAUCGCUAGUAAUCGUAGAUCAGAAUGCUACGGUGAAUACGUUCCCGGGCCUUGUACACACCGCCCGUCACACCAUGGGAGUGGGUUGCAAAAGAAGUAGGUAGCUUAACCUUCGGGAGGGCGCUUACCACUUUGUGAUUCAUGACUGGGGUGAAGUCGUAACAAGGUAAGCGUAGCGAG
rnacentral:rRNA from 1 species